GAUGAAGAACGCAGCGAAAUGCGAUAAGUAAUGUGAAUUGCAGAAUUCAGUGAAUCAUCGAACCUUUGAACGCACAUUGCGCCCGCCAGUAUUCUGGCGGGCAUGCCUGUUCGAGCGUCAUUACAACCCUCAGGCCCCCGGGCCUGGCGUUGGGGAUCGGCAGAAGCCCCCUGUGGGCACACGCCGUCCCUCAAAUACAGUGGCGGUCCCGCCGCAGCUUCCAUUGCGUAGUAGCUAACACCUCGCAACUGGAGAGCGGCGCGGCCAUGCCGUAAAACACCCAACUUCUGAAUGUUGACCUCGAAUCAGGUAGGAAUACCCGCUGAACUUAAGCAUAUCAAUAAGCGGAGGA
rnacentral:misc_RNA from 1 species